rnacentral:rRNA from 1 species
UACGGAGGGUGCAAGCGUUAUUCGGAUUUACUGGGUUUAAAGGGUGCGUAGGUGGGUUGGUAAGUCAGUGGUGAAAUCCCCGAGCUUAACUUGGGAACUGCCAUUGAUACUAUUAGUCUUGAAUACCGUGGAGGUCGGCGGAAUAUGUCAUGUAGCGGUGAAAUGCUUAGAUAUGACAUAGAACACCAAGUGCGAAGGGAGCUGACUGCGCGAGUAUUGACACUGAGGCACGAAAGCGUGGGGAUCAAACAGG